rnacentral:lncRNA from 1 species
CCAGCAUGCCCUACCAUUCCUUCAAACAAGCAUUCACUGUAGCAGAAAGUCCAAGAAAAGGCUUACUCCCUUGAGGAUCAAGAAGAAAGAAACAGCGAAGAAAGGUACAGUAGCUGUUAAUAUUAAUGUUGGAGGAGGAAGGGAGGGAGAGAGGACACAGGAGCAGUGAAAAAAAGUCUACUUAUGGCUUUGAUGUGUUCAUUUCCACAGGACCAAUAGCAGCACGGAGAAUACAGAAACCAGAUAAAGAGGAAAAUGAGGAGGUGGAGGUGGUUCAGAUCCCAGGAGGAAUUUUGCUAAAUUCCAAGAAGUCCCAG